AGUCGAGCGCACUCUUUUAGAGUGAGCGGCAAACGGGUGAGUAACGCGUGGGAAUCUACCCCUCUCUACGGAAUAACACAGAGAAAUUUGUGCUAAUACCGUAUACGUCCUAUUGGAGAAAGAUUUAUCGGAGAUGGAUGAGCCCGCGUUGGAUUAGCUAGUUGGUGAGGUAACGGCUCACCAAGGCGACGAUCCAUAGCUGGUCUGAGAGGAUGAUCAGCCACACUGGGACUGAGACACGGCCCAGACUCCUACGGGAGGCAGCAGUGGGGAAUAUUGGACAAUGGGGGCAACCCUGAUCCAGCCAUGCCGCGUGAGUGAUGAA
rnacentral:rRNA from 1 species